GAUGGAUAUAUAGACAGGUCUUCUAAACUUGUUCAGAGCUAAUAACUCAUCCAUUU
rnacentral:tRNA from 1 species